ACACUGAUGGUGAAACGGUAUCAUGCUUGCCUUCCACCUGUUCGGUAGCAAGCGGCGCGGGUUCGACUCCCGCUCAGUGUA